rnacentral:lncRNA from 1 species
AUUAUAUAAAAAUAAAAUUUAAAUGAUGUGCUUGUGAAAAUCCACACCAUAUACAUUAAAUUGAAUUAAAUAAGAAUUAUAUUAGCAAUGUAGGAAGAAAUGUUAAAAGAUAUGUAUACAAAUAAGUCUAUAUAUACAAUUUUGCAACCACAAAGUAAAUUUAUACUUAUAUAAGUUACCUAUUCUAUUGUCGAAGUGUAAAUAAGUUUAACUAUAUAUAUAUAUAUAUUUUUAAUUUUUUCUACAUAGUAUAAAAAAGAAUUCUAGUUGUUUAAUUUUAAAAUAUUUAUGUAUCUCAAAGUACCAAAAAUAGAAUGUAGGUUAAUUUAGAAUUUAAAAAAAUAAAAAAAUAAGUACUAAGUCAAAGUUCUUAUAUACAAAAAUUAAAAAAAUCAAAGAAUAUUUGAAAUAAAUCACUAGUUUUUUAGAUCCUA